CCUCUUGCUCCAUAUCUCCAACCGCCCUCCUCCUCCAUAUCGAUCGCUUUUUCUUGCUCCACCACCAUCUUAAACAAGCGGUAUUUGAGACUGCAUCCAAGGAGGAUGCAUCAAUGAGGUUGUCACAUGAGGGGAAACAAGGCGAACCAGACCCUCAUAUGCUUUCUACAUAGGAGAACAUCACUCUCACGCAGAACGUAAUGGGACAUAAUAGGAGAAGAAGAUAUCAUCUGUAUGGUGUUGGAGCUUCACCCGACAUAAGCAUAAGAUCAUCCACAGCAUCCUCCACGUCAUCUACAAUAACGAGAGCAGCCCCAAGCAGUUUUCAAGCUAUGCCAUUUAUCGCACGCAUCUCCGUGUAUUUGUUUGAUAAGAUUAAUUCGGAGCUGUAUAUUUAGGUGACUACUGAGAUGACUAGAGUUGCGAGAAUGGCCAACUCAAUGGAUAAUCUCAUGGGGUA